GCGCUAAUAGCUCAGUUGGGAGAGCGUCAGACUGAAGUCAAUUCGGUCCAUUCCAUAUCCGGGGUAAUCUGAAGGUCACCCGUUCAAUCCGGGUUUGGCGCA
rnacentral:tRNA from 1 species